rnacentral:rRNA from 1 species
GAUGAACGCUAGCUACAGGCUUAACACAUGCAAGUCGAGGGGCAGCAUGCACAAAGCUUGCUUUGUUUGAUGGCGACCGGCGCACGGGUGCGUAACACGUGUCCAAUCUGCCCGCGGCUCGGGGAUAGCCCAUCGUAAGAUGGAUUAAUACCCGAGGGCGUGGUCGCCCCGCAUGGGGUUUCCACUAAAGGUUUUCCGGCCGCGGAUGAGGAUGUGUAUGAUUAGGUAGUAGGCGGGGUAACGGCCCACCUAGCCUUCGAUCAUUAGGGGUUCUGAGAGGAAGGUCCCCCACACUGGAACUGAGACACGGUCCCGACUCCUACGGGAGGCAGCAGUGAGGAAUAUUGGUCAAUGGGCGAGAGCCUGAACCAGCCAAGUAGCGUGAAGGAAGACUGCCCUAUGGGUUGUAAACUUCUUUUGUUCGGGAAUAAAGUGCAGUAUGUAUACUGUUUUGUAUGUACCGUUCGAAUAAGCAUCGGCUAAUUCCGUGCCAGCCGCCGCUGUAAGAC